AAUCAACGCUGGCGGCGUGCCUAACACAUGCAAGUCGAACGAGAAAGUGGAGCAAUCCAUGAGUAAAGUGGCGACCGGGUGAGUAACACGUGACCAAUCUACCCUUGAGUGGGGGAUAACCUCGGGAAACCGGGGCUAAUACCGCAUAAAAUCUUCGGAUCGGAAGAACUGGAGAUCAAAGGAGCAAUUCGCUUAAGGAGGAGGUCGCGGCUGAUUAGCUAGUUGGCGGGGUAAUGGCCCACCAAGGCGAAGAUCGGUAGCCGGCCUGAGAGGGCGCACGGCCACACUGGAACUGAAACACGGUCCAGACUCCUACGGGAGGCAGCAGUGGGGAAUUUUGCGCAAUGGGGGAAACCCUGACGCAGCAACGCCGCGUGGAGGAUGAAGUCCCUUGGGACGUAAACUCCUUUCGACCCGGACGAUAAUGACGGUACGGGUGGAAGAAGCCCCGGCUAACUUCGUGC
rnacentral:rRNA from 1 species